rnacentral:rRNA from 1 species
UGGGGAAUUUUGGACAAUGGGCGAAAGCCUGAUCCAGCAAUGCCGCGUGUGUGAAGAAGGCCUUCGGGUUGUAAAGCACUUUUGUCCGGAAAGAAAUGGCUCUGGUUAAUACCUGGGGUCGAUGACGGUACCGGAAGAAUAAGGACCGGCUAACUACGUGCCAGCAGCCGCGGUAAUACGUAGGGUCCAAGCGUUAAUCGGAAUUACUGGGCGUAAAGCGUGCGCAGGCGGUUGUGCAAGACCGAUGUGAAAUCCCGAGCUUAACUUGGGAAUUGCAUUGGUGACUGCACGGCUAGAGUGUGUCAGAGGGGGGUAGAAUUCCACGUGUAGCAGUGAAAUGCGUAGAGAUGUGGAGGAAUACCGAUGGCGAAGGCAGCCCCUGGGAUAACACUGACGCUCAUGCACGAAAGCGUGGGGAGCAAACAGGAUUAGAUACCCUGGUAGUCC